GGUACCGCAAUCCGACACAGGUGUGCUAGGCGAGUAUCCGAAGGCGUUCGGGAGAACCCUCGUGAAGGAACUCGGCAAAAUGACCCCGUACCUUCGGUACAAGGGGUGCUCUCCGUAAGGAGAGCCGCAGAGAAUCGGCUCUAGCGACUGUUUAUCAAAAACACAGGACUCUGCCAACUCGCAAGAGGACGUAUAGAGUCUGACGCCUGCUCGGUGUCGGUAGGUUAAGGGAGCCGAUGAGGCGAGAGCUGAAGUUGGCGACCGAAGCCCCGAUAAACGGCGGCCGUAACUAUGACGGUCCUAAGGUAGCGAAGUUCCUUGUCGGGUAAGUUCCGACCUGCAUGAAUGGCGUAACGACUGGAGCACUGUCUCCACGAGGGACCCGGUGAAACUGUAGCCGUGGUGAAGAUGCCACGUACCCGCGGUCAGACGGAAAGACCCCGUGAACCUUUACUGCAGGUUGGCAUUGGGUCAGCGUCCUUUCUGUGUAGCAUAGGUGGGAGGCCGUGAUCCGGCGGCGCCAGCCGUCGGGGAGCCAUCGGUGAAAUACCACCCUGAAAUGACUCUGAUCCUCACCGGUCCGUAGCCCGGACCGGGACCAUGCUCAUCGGGCAGUUUGACUGGGGCGGUCUCCUCCCAAAGCGUAACGGAGGAGUGCAAUGGUACCCUCGGCCAGGUCGGCAAUCUGGCAACAUGACCGCAAACGUAGAAGGGUGCCUGACUGCGAGACCCAUCAGUCGAGCAGGGACGAAAGUCGGCGUUAGUGAUCCGGCGGUGCUGGAUGGAAAGGCCGUCGCUCAACAGAUAAAAGGUACUCCGGGGAUAACAGGCUGAUCUCCCCCGAGCGUCCAUAGCGGCGGGGAGGUUUGGCACCUCGAUGUCGGCUCAUCGCAUCCUGGGGCUGGAGAAGGUCCCAAGGGUUUGGCUGUUCGCCAAUGAAAGCGGUACGCGAGCUGGGUUCAGACCGUCGUGAGACAGGUCGGUCCCUAUCUGCCGUGGGCGGAUGAAACUUGCGAAGGGUCUCCCCUAGUACGAGAGGAUUGGGGAGGACCGACCUCUGGUGUACCGGCUGUCCCGCUCGGGGCACCGCCGGGUAGCUAGGUCGGGAAAGGAUAAGCGCUGAAGGCAUCUAAGCGCGAAGCCCUCUUCAAGACGAGGUUUCCAGCACGCAAGUGCGAAGGCUCCUGGAAGACGACCAGGUCGAUAGGCCGGGAGUGCACGGCGAGUGAUCGCCGCAGCCGACCGGUCCUAACAGCCGAUCGCUUGGCCAC
rnacentral:rRNA from 1 species